CUCGGUCAAAUUAGAGGAAGUAAAAGUCGUAACAAGGUCUCCGUUGGUGAACCAGCGGAGGGAUCAUUACCGAGUUUACAACUCCCAAACCCAAUGUGAACGUUACCAAACUGUUGCCUCGGCGGGAUCUCUGCCCCGGGUGCGUCGCAGCCCCGGACCAAGGCGCCCGCCGGAGGACCAACCAAAACUCUUAUUGUAUACCCCCUCGCGGGUUUUUUUUAUAAUCUGAGCCUUCUCGGCGCCUCUCGUAGGCGUUUCGAAAAUGAAUCAAAACUUUCAACAACGGAUCUCUUGGUUCUGGCAUCGAUGAAGAACGCAGCGAAAUGCGAUAAGUAAUGUGAAUUGCAGAAUUCAGUGAAUCAUCGAAUCUUUGAACGCACAUUGCGCCCGCCAGUAUUCUGGCGGGCAUGCCUGUCCGAGCGUCAUUUCAACCCUCGAACCCCUCCGGGGGGUCGGCGUUGGGGAUCGGCCCUGCCUUGGCGGUGGCCGUCUCCGAAAUACAGUGGCGGUCUCGCCGCAGCCUCUCCUGCGCAGUAGUUUGCACACUCGCAUCGGGAGCGCGGCGCGUCCACAGCCGUUAAACACCCAACUUCUGAAAUGUUGACCUCGGAUCAGGUAGGAAUACCCGCUGAACUUAAGCAUAUCAAUAAGCGGAGGA
rnacentral:rRNA from 1 species